CUUUGUACUUUUCCACAGCUUUCUUGAACUGCAUCUAUUAGACUGUUGUUCUUCUUGUUGUUAUUACAUGUGGCAGUGUAGUGCCAGUAGUUGUACACUUUUUGUGGUUCAAUAAAGCUGUGGGAAGAUACAGACA
rnacentral:pre_miRNA from 1 species